rnacentral:rRNA from 1 species
AGAUUGAACGCUGGCGGCAUGCCUUACACAUGCAAGUCGAACGGCAGCACGGGAGCAAUCCUGGUGGCGAGUGGCGAACGGGUGAGUAAUACAUCGGAACGUGCCCAGUAGUGGGGGAUAACCCGGCGAAAGCCGGACUAAUACCGCAUACGACCUAAGGGUGAAAGCGGGGGAUCGCAAGACCUCGCGCUAUCGGAGCGGCCGAUGUCAGAUUAGCUAGUUGGUGGGUAAAAGCCUACCAAGGCGACGAUCUGUAGCUGGUCUGAGAGGACGACCAGCCACACUGGGACUCGAGACGACGGCCCAGACCUCCGUACGGGACGCGAGCGAGUGGGAAUUUGGACUAAGUGGGCACAAGCCUGA